rnacentral:rRNA from 1 species
GCAGCAUAUGUAAUGUAUGUUCCCUUUGGGGCAGGAAAGACAGGUGGUGCAUGGUUGUCGUCAGCUCGUGUCGUGAGAUGUUGGGUUAAGUCCCGCAACGAGCGCAACCCCUGUCCCCAGUAGCCAGCGCGCAGCGGCGGGCACUCUGGGGAGACUGCCGGGGACAACCCGGAGGAAGGCGGGGACGACGUCAAAUCAUCAUGCCCCUUAUGGCUUGGGCUACACACGUGCUACAAUGGCGCCGACAAAGGGAAGCGAAGCGGCGACGUGGAGCAAAUCCCAAAAACGGCGCCCCAGUUCGGAUUGUAGUCUGCAACCCGACUACAUGAAGCCGGAAUCGCUAGUAAUCGCGGAUCAGAAUGUCGCGGUGAAUACGUUCCCGGGUCUUGUACACACCGCCCGUCACACCAUGGGAGCCGGAAAUGCCCGAAGUCAGUGGCCCAACCGGAAGGAGGGAGCUGCCGAAGGCAGGUCUGGUGACUGGGGUGAAGUCGUAACAAGGUAACCG